UACGUAGGUGACAAGCGUUGUCCGGAUUUACUGGGCGUAAAGAGCGCGCAGGCGGUCGAUCAAGUCGAGUGUGAAAGCCCCCGGCUCAACUGGGGAGGGUCAUUCGAUACUGAUCGACUCGAAGGCAGGAGAGGGUGGUGGAAUUCCCGGUGUAGUGGUGAAAUGCGUAGAUAUCGGGAGGAACACCAGUGGCGAAGGCGACUACCUGGCCUGUUCUUGACGCUGAGGAGCGAAAGCGUGGGGAGCGAACAGG
rnacentral:rRNA from 1 species